AGACUCAUGGUGUAGCGGUAACACUACUGAUUUUGGUUCAGUCAUCUGGGUUCGAAUCCCUGUGAGUCUA
rnacentral:tRNA from 1 species